UCAACCAGCAUUCCUAGCCUUUGCGCCCUACCUGUCUUCUUCUCCUUUAAACACCUCUAUGCUUUCUUCUAGGGCUGCUCCUUGUGCAUUGGAAAAAUUCCCUGAUAAAAUCCAAGCAGCCAUGACCUCAUCUUCCAUCAACUCCCUCUUCUGCUAUGAAGAUUAUAAAACCCACCCUGAUGAUCACGGCUGGGCAGUUGACAGACAAGCACACAACACAAUGGGGCCUGAGUCUGAUUGGAAUUUUGGGGUGCUACCAGAAAGAAUAAUAUGGGCAGCUGGACUGAUGUUUCCCUGCUUGUACAACAAUUUAGAAUACAUACUUCGUAGUCCACUACAAUUUUGGAGAGGCAAUAAUAUUAGUAAUCAAAGAGGAAACAAGAAACUCUGGCACCCUCUGAAAAGUAUUUCCCUAAGGAACUCCAUGUUAUUCCUUUAAGUCUUCAGUUGUCCUUUCUACGAGAACUUCUUCACCAUAAAACACUCUAUGAAUAAACACUUUUAACUUGCUAUGUAAAUCAUCACCUGUCAACACUGAAAACAGAUACUGAAAUCCAUUCAUUGCAAUGUAUUACUGUACAUACAAGGGCUAUGAUGGGAAAGUAUCAAGGAAAAAGGAAGUCCUCAAUGUGCAUAGCAGUUUGUAGAAUGUAACUUCCAGCUGAAGAGAAUUCCAGGGGAGAAGGCCUGCGAAUGAGUGUACUAUCCUCAUGUCCUCUGCUUCAAUGAGCUUACAAGCAGAGUCAAACAAAAUGCUUAAUCUCUAUGCAGUUCAAUAGUUGAGUAUAUAAGAUGAUAAUGGAAUCUGUGACCAUUGGGGGAUUUGUACAUGGUAUCCAAUCUUAUUUCACCUAAAAGUGAACCAGUUGCCAGGGCAGAGGUCAAAGGACAAGUGUAGAAUCUUCUUGUCUGGGGACUCUACUUAGAAGAGAGGAAGUCACAUCCUGCACAGUUGAAACUUCCAAGAGGUCUUCAAGGUUUGUCUCAGGUAGUAUCCACAGAGCACCAAUAACAGUGGUAAGAUUUGCGUCUGAGAAGAAAAGUCCCAAUUUCUUGGCUAAUCAUAAAUGACAGAAGGCAUUUCUGGACAAUUUCUGGGAAUCUAGGAGCUGAGGAUUGUGACUCACUUUAGUAACAGACAAUCACUGAAGUGAAAGUGUAUGCUUAGGACAUGGAUGAAAAUCCACCAGGAACGGUUGUAAAGAAGAAAACAAUUUUUAACUUCUCCUUUUAAAGUGCAGUUGGAGCUGCUAUGAUCAUAUCUUCUAGGGGCAGAGAAAACAACUGGAGAACAAACAGACCUGAUAAGAGGAUACCAUAAGAGAAUGCCUCUUUGUAGGCACAGUGGAAAGUCAAACGUAUGUCUCUGAUAUCCCAGAUGAAUGCCCUAAUUGCUGGGCUAUUGGGUAUUCUGGGACAUAUCCAUUGACCAGCCUUAAAAAUUCCAGACUUGCUUGCCCCCGGCUGUCUUUUAGGAAAUUUUUAGGCCUGCUCAGCAGAUGCCUAUUGGAUCAGUCCCCAGAGACAAGAUAGGCAGGGAAACACCUAGUUUGAGAAUCCUGAUGGGGAUUAGACAUGUCCCACAGCUGCAAGCAGCUCAGAUUAGCUGUAGGACCAUUGUCAGAACUUCAGCAGCUUUGGGCAGCCAUACCAGUGGAAAUCUAGUCAUAUAUGAGGAUUUAGGUGCCUACUGGGUUAGGCAGCAGCAGAGCAGUGGGUAUUUGAAUGUCAGCGGUGCCUAUUUUUUGGACAUGGGCACCUACGAGGGCAGUUAGGUACCUAAGCCCCUUAGUGAAUCUAGCUCAUGGUAUUUAGUGCAGCGUAAUAGACAUACUGCACAGCAGAACCUGAAGGCAGCUCCUCAUGCAAGACAUCUGGUUCUAUUUUGUUAGUUUCUAUAUAAACAUACCUUUCAGCAAUAAGAGAAAAGAAUUCCCUAAUCAUGCAAACAGUGAUAUUGGUCAUCAUUUAUUUUUGUCCUUUGGUGUAAGACCAUAUCCUAUUAGCAUCCAUUUACUAUCUGAUACAUCCUCUCAUGGGAACUAUAUUUUGUACUCAAAAUCUAACCAGUCCUUUCUAUUAUUAACUAAUUGAACUGCAUGUAUAUUUUUAUAACUCAGCGAACUUCUCUGAACCCACUUGUUAGGUCAGGAUGAUAACAUGAGCUGACUGCCUGAUCAUAUCACAUAUACAAAUUUCAUAUACAUCCCAGUUAAUUCCAUAAGACAAUUUAGGUAGCUGGCUAACCUUUUUUUUGCCCCCAUGAUAGUCUAUCCAGUCUCCAUUAUAUGUGCUGUUUGGUUAGAGGGCCAGGAAAAGUCAUCUCUACAGUUUCAGAGUUAGACAGUGUCAUAAACAGAUACUUAAGGGUUAAUGUCUCUUUUACCUGUAAAGGGUUAACAA